ensembl:lncRNA
CAGACUAUCCUGCUGGACCUAGGAGAGGGGAACAUCACCAUGGUAGAAUAAUUCUGAAACAACAUCACCGAAUCUAUUUUAUCAUGGUCCAUUUAAAAUUGCUGUGAAGGACCUAGAAUAAAAUUCUGCUUAGUAACUAAUUUAAUCAAAUAUUUUGCUCUUAAGGUUUAUUCUUUUUGUUCUGAUUCAUACUUUUCUGUAUGUGGGUAUUCUAGAAGUUUGCAAUCCAUGAAAACUAAUGAUGAUUCCUCAUGUGAAAUGCACGUCUGCCCUGCCUUUUCCUGCAAACAUGUUGCCACUGCUAGUACCAGCAGGACCAUCUUGCCACCACCAUCAUAACCUGAGGAAUUCAGCCCCCAUUCCCAUCCUACAGACACAAAAAAUGAAGCCCUGUAAGGGUAAUGACUUUCCAAAACCACAAAAUAAGAGGCAGAAGAGAAUGAACACUUAAACUUAGGUCUUGACUCCAAGACACUAACACAUUCUUUAAGAGUCCUUGUGUCAUCUGGUUUAGUUCUUUUCAUCACCAAUUUCAUGCCUUGGAAGACUUUUAAUUUCGAAGAUAAAGGCCAAAAUUAGAACCCUGAUAGCCUCCCCUUCCCAAAUCUCUGCUAGUGUAUGGCAAGGAGGAGGGUGCCUACAGUAUAAUGACAGGGGUGGUACAAGAAAGUGUUUGACCCUCAUUUGAUCUUGGGAAUUAGUGAUUAGAAGGGCAUCUGACUGUGAUUAGGGCACUAGACUAACUUCUUCCAAAUUUCUGGGUUCUGACUCAGGAUUCUCUUAAGUUCAAGAAAGCCAUUUACAAAUUUCAAAUCAAGGCAAAAGAAGGGAAGUUUCUUUGAGGCUUUUGCAAUUUCACUUCUCAGAGCUGGGUUACUACCGGUUGCUGCAGGACUGGGCUGGUCCGGAGAAACUGGAAUGGAAACCAUGCUAGUUCAUAAAGUAUGAUGAUGUCAAAAACAAGCACAGACCAAUGUAGAUCAAUACGGCAAGUCAAGAAGAGAGUCAAAGACAACAAUCAUAGGACUAGACCAAGCUGGAGCAAACAGGCCAGGAGCAGAGUCCUCCUUGGGAAACCACUUCACUUUUCACAUUAUCUGUAAGACAGUAGAACUUAAGCAGAAUUUAGAGUCCAAAGUUUAAACUCAGCAAAGAAAUGUGAAUGGAGAGCAUAGGAAAGCACAGGAAAACAUCUCAAGAUUUAAUUAUUUUUUACCCAAAUGAGAAUGCUGUUGAUUUUAGGACAGGAACUGCACUCUCUCACCCAGACUGGAGUGCAAUGGUGUGAUCACAGCUCACUGCAGCCUUGACCUCCCUGGGCUCAAGCAAUCCUCCCAUCUCAGCCUCCUGAGUAGCUCGGACCACAGGCGCAUGCCACCAUGCCUGGCUGAUUGUACUUUUUGUAGAGACAGGGUUUUGCUAUGUUGCCCAGGCUGGGCUGGAACUCCUGGACUCAAGUGAUCUGCCUGCAUCAGCCUCUCAAAGUGCUGAGAUUAUAGGCAUGAGCCAUUGCUCCAGAAUUUAAGGUCCUUCUUGAUGUGAGAGAACCAGAGCUUCUGCCACAUGGACCCUCCGGAAGAGAGCAGGGUCUGUGGACUUGAUGUUGGGUGCAUGUACCUGCAACUGCAGCAAGGCAUGUGGCUCUGACUCUGGGUCAUUCUGUAGUUCUAAAACGUUCCACGAGCAACUAAGCAACUACUGAACUGAAGGACUGUAUCCCUGUAUCUGAAGGACUAUACAUUCUUUAUAGCCAAGACUAUGCAAUAUUUAUCUCUUUCACUGCUCUAGUAAAAAUAUUUAAGAAUUCAUAAAGUUUAUGAUUCUUUCACUCAUCAGCCUCUGUGCCUCAUUGAUUCUUCUUCACAAAGUGUUCAUGAUCACUCGUCUUCUGAUUCUCAAAAGGAUUUGCUCAAAGAAUGUUUGCUGAACACAGUAUAAGGUCUUAAUCAUUUAAAUACAUGCUUUAAUUUCAGAGACUUCUCUUUGUUUUAUAGGGAGACACAUGUUGUUCUCUCAGGGAACAAGGAUCUUCUUCAACCCCUGCAUCCCCCACAUAGUGGCACAAAGGAAAUAUUUGUUGAAUGAAUGAAGUUAGCUGCUUUUCCUUUUUAAAAUAAUCUUGAUGUGUCACUACAUAUUUUGGUACACAUGCUUUCAAUAUUUGGUUAUUCAAGGAGACUGGGUUGGCAAAACUUUAAAUAGAUGCUAUGGUAGAAGCAGUAAAGCUUGCAUUUAGCUUGGAUAUGUUGAGAAGAAACAUGGGUACAUUUUCAUCUUCAUGAUCCUCCUCACCUAAAGCCAUGGGCUGUUGGAAUGUCUGCAGAGUAGGUUGUACAUACAAAGACAUUUUCGCUCUUACUUGUUGGAACCCCUGAAUAUAUCUGGUCCCAUCACCACAGGUUGGUGGUGACGUUUUUCAAAACUAAAAUUAAAAAAUAAUGGAUUAGUAAAAACUCACCAUAAGAAGACCUGUAAUAAAAACUCCCAAACACAGAUAAUGGAAAAAUGUAAUGUUAUUGACUCAGAUAAAUAUAAGCCAUUGACUUUAACUUGAGAAAUGCAGCUUUUCCCCCAACUUUCUUACAGAUUCCUCAAUUAUAGUACAGAGGAGUUAAAAUUUAAGUGCUUCCCGAUUCUAAAGUAGCUGGUCCAAUUUCGACCAAUUUGGAUCAGCUACUUUUCUUCUCCAUUUGAAACUUUCCAACAAUAAAGAAGAUAGUCUUCUUGUACUUGAUCUCUACAGAAUUAAACAGAUGCUGUUUUUGGUGUGGACCUAAAUCAUAGCCCCUCAAUGAGUCUGUCAGCAGAGCUGGAAGUCACCAACUUUUAAAAGUAAAGUCCUAAUCCCUUAUUUUAUGAAAAUUAUAGUGCCACUGGAGGCAGAAAUCUAUCUUGUCCUCAAAAACUAUUGCACUUGAUCGGGUAUGGUGGUUCAUGCCUAUAAUCUCAGUACUUUAAGAGAUUGAGGCCAGUGGAUCACUUAAGACCAGUAGUUUGAGACAGCCUGCACAACAGGGCAAAACUACAUCUCUACAAAAAAUAAAAAAUAAUUAGUAGGUUGUGGUGGUAUGUGCCUAUAGUCUCAGCUACUCAAGGAGGCUGAGGUGGGAGGAUCCUUUCAGCCCAGGAGUUUGAAGCUGCAGUAAUCCACAGUGGCACCACUAUGCUCAGCCUGGGGAACAGAAUGAGACCUUGUCUCAAAACCAAACAACCAAACAAGCUAUUGCAAUUUAGUUUUGAUGUAAAAGGUAUAAAAAUCUGAGGACAUAAGAGCAGUUUCAUAUUAAAAAUAAUAUAUCACCUUGAGCAAAAUAGAUAAUGAAAGUAUUAUGUAAAUAGUGUAUUUUAAAUCAUUUAUUCAACCUCUUUUUAAAAAUUUUUUGACUUACUGAAAGAAAAAUCAAAGUUUUCAAAAAGAACUGUCCCCACACACAGUCCCCUACCCCCACCUACCCUUCGAUUUCCAUCACUAUAGUCCGGAACAAGUAUUAUUUAUAGUUAAAAGAUGCAUCAGUCAGCUCAGCUAACUAAAGUUCCAAAUGCAUUCAGCUGCCUACUGCUAAAGCCCAGUUUCGAAAGCUUUUAUCUGUCACCAAGACCAGCCAUCCAAACCACUGAAACUCAGAUUCAGUACAAGCCUGUGACAGAGGCCAAUCCCAUGCGCAGAAGCUCCCUCUCUGCCUCACAAUUCUGAUUUCACUUCAAAGAUCCAGUUUCCCUCGCAACUCUCAUCCUACCUGAGGUCUUGUUCUUGUGACUUUUUUAAUCUCAAGAUUACCCCCAUUCACCUGAGUGAAUCACAAUAGAGUGGCCAGCGAUACGGGCCUAAGUAGACAAGAGUUCAGAAAAGGAGGCCAUGCGUGACUUAAAGAAAUGUCAAAUCUAAUAGAUUGGUAUCAAAGAUAAACAGAAACCCCAAUAUCAAGUAUUUGAAACGUACAAAAUUUGCAGCAAAAUAUUACAAAUAGGUAAUACUAAAUAAUGGACUAUAUCCGAUUAGUUUCCAUUUUAUAAUUCUCUCGUUACUAGAGUCAAAUAUGAACUAUUAUACUUCAUUAGUGGUCACUUUAGCUCUUCACUGCUUCAUACUCCUUUAACUGGUGUAUAUAUGUUGCAUGGUAAAUUUCUUGAAUGCUAAGAUCCUACUUUUGUAACCCCAUUGCACUUAGCAGGGAUGUACACCUAGACCUCCAUAUCAAGGUGAUCAAUAAAUGCUUGUUAAGAUGUAUAUGAAUAUGGAAGCAAUUACUCCUCUCUAACAACAACUGUAAAAAAUGUGGAAGCUCAGUGUUUUAUCAGCGAACCGGC